rnacentral:rRNA from 1 species
UACGAAGGGUGCAAGCGUUACUCGGAAUUACUGGGCGUAAAGCGCGUGUAGGCGGCUUUGCAAGUCGGAUGUGAAAGCCCACGGCUCAACCGUGGAAGUGCAUCCGAAACUGCAUGGCUUGAGUCUCGGAGAGGAAGGUGGAAUGCUUGGUGUAGAGGUGAAAUUCGUAGAUAUCAAGCAGAACACCUGCGGCGAAGGCGGCCUUCUGGACGAUGACUGACGCUGAGACGCGAAAGCGUGGGGAGCAAACAGG